UACGGAGGGGGCUAGCGUUGUUCGGAAUUACUGGGCGUAAAGCGCGCGUAGGCGGCUUUGUAAGUCAGAGGUGAAAGCCUGGAGCUCAACUCCAGAACUGCCUUUGAAACUACAUCGCUAGAAUCAUGGAGAGGUUAGUGGAAUUCCGAGUGUAGAGGUGAAAUUCGUAGAUAUUCGGAAGAACACCAGUGGCGAAGGCGACUAACUGGACAUGUAUUGACGCUGAGGUGGCGAAAGCGUGGGGAGCAAACAGG
rnacentral:rRNA from 1 species